rnacentral:piRNA from 2 species
UGCUCAGCUGAAAUCAGACCUCAGUCCC